AUGGAACACUCUGCUUGUUUGAAAAUGAAAGUGGAGACGCUGAGGGGCUUGUUAAACGACCGUCUGACGGCGGUGGUGGAAGAGAUCUGCGGCCUGUUUCUAAUUACGAUAGCGGAGUUGGAGGAAACCCGCCCCCGUUCCAACGUGGCAUGGCCGCAACAGGAGCGACCGCAGGUCCCGUCGCCUGCUUUAAGUGACGGAGGACGGUUGCGCCACGGAGACAUCCAACAGGCAACAACUACAAACCAAUCUUUUUCUAAGCAGCAAGAGCAAAGAUCCAUUCGGAAAGACAAAACCCCAAGACCUCCACACUGUAACGAGGACCAGGAGACACGUGGCACCCUGAGUGGAUAUGUGAAGGGGGCUGAAGAAAACAUCAAUUCAGAGUGUCCAAGCAGCAGCAGCAGCUCAGCUCAACAGAUGGAGGUUGAUGGAGAAAACUGUGAUACAGCAGCUUUGGGGUCAGGUAGUGGGAAGACCUCAAACUCUUCUGAGUAUGAUACUGAAGACAGUGAUGAUGAUAUUUGGAAUAGAACACCUGCAUAUCAGUCCAGUUUAAAAAACGAUCUUGGAUCAGAACCAAACAAGUUGGAUUUAAAAGCAGUUACAGAUCUAGAGCCAGACUCAUCUGAACCAGAGACAGAAGAUAGUGACGAUGAAGAUCGGCAUUGCAGCGGGAAACGUCCGUCAGGUCUAACAACUGUAGAACCUGCAGAGGUUCCUGAAAGUCCUUCCAAGUCCUCUUGUCAAACAUCGUUGAGUUUGUCUAUUCAUAGUGAGAGUGAUCAACUCAAGCAGCAGGUAGGGAAUAAAACACGCUCGCAGAAGGCACCUUUAACUCAAUCAAAAUUAUGUUUGGCUGCAAACUUGAGCGAACCCUCUAGCGCCCAAACAAAGUUAAACAGCCCAGCAUCUAGGAAAAGUAAUCGCAGCACAUCUCUAAAGAAAGACAGGACAAAAAAGCUGGAAGAAAAACUCUUUCGGUGUUCUGUUUGUGGUCAGACAUUCGAAAAGAACGCGUAUUUUCUCUUACAUAUGAAAGCACAUAAAGCAGAACGACGGCGCAAGACAGCUCAUUCUGGAGGCAGCAGUUAGUAGCUCAGGUGCAGUCAAAGCUAAUCGCAAAUAAAUAUAACAUCUGAAAUAGUGUAGGUAAUAGU
rnacentral:lncRNA from 1 species